CUCAAAUGAACGGAUGCAUCAGUAAAUGUUUCAAAGAAUGAACCAAUAGCCUCUGGGGCAAGCAAAGGUCUCCUCUGUGCAGCUUCGUGUCAAGGUCAUGUUUGGAAUCAGAUUGGCCAGUGAACUGGUCCCUGAGGUGUCCUGCUCUCCCAUCUGAAUCCUGCCAUCUCUCCUGAAACUAAGAGGCCCAAGUAUGGAGCACAUGACUUCUCUUUGUCCUGCCUUUGUAGCAUCCUGUGGUUAUACUCCUGGAAGUGCUCAAGCUCUUGAUCAAGGGGCAUGAUGAAUUCUAAAGUUGGCCAAACUGCUUUCCAAAUUGUGUAAUUUUCAAUCCCACCAGUGUGUGUGAGAAUGCUUAGUUUUGUAAUGUUACCCAGAUCAAAAGAAGCAACUUCUCUAAAGAAAUAUCUAAGCAGAGUAUAGGAAUAUGUCCCAGAGUUUUUAGAUUAGAGAAGAGUCCUAGAAAAAGAAUUCUUAAGA
rnacentral:lncRNA from 1 species